ensembl:lncRNA
GUCAAUUCUGCACAACUUAGAGAUGGAGAACACUGAAGUCCAUGAGAACAGCCAUAAGCUGAAGAAGGAGAUUACCUUCUCUAGAAACCUGCUCAGCCAGCUCCUGAUGGAAAACACAUGUAGGAAGAAGUUGGUCCCACUGAAGCAGGAGAGCAAGGAGAGACAUCUUGAGUGUGCACUGAACCAGAAAUAUUUGGUUGACUUCAGCAAGAAAGAUAAAGACCAGCAACGUCCAGACCCAGCAUCAUCUGGUCUCAGAAAGUGCAAGAGAGAUGGAAUUGGACACACGCCAGUAAGAGAGCUUCCUGAGGAAUAAGUUGCUUUCUCAGGAGUCCCUGAUGACAAACAUCGUGAAUGAAAACAGCACUUGAGAAACAACUUGGGGGACCACCUUUCAUUAUGUGUGCUAGAGGAGAAACAGCAAUACAUCUGUGC